AAUUGUGGAAAAGUAUGCAAUUAAAUGGGCUUGAUCCAAGUAGUUUUUGCUAUACAUGGGGUGCUACGCACUUUCUGGUAUAACUUUUUCCACCGAAACGUAACGGUAGCCAUACCACGCAUUUCUAGCUUGUUUUGGUGACGUAAUAGAGAACCUCACCAUCUCAGACCCUUGCAUAAUUCCAGAAUGAUUCGGGGCGAGAGACUUUAGAGAGGUCAGUGAAGAGAAAAUGUUGUCACCCACAAUCCUACCCCUUCUCCUAGUUCCGGAGAACCUCGGCCACAAGGACUUGGCAACUCUGCAGCCCAGAACGCUAGCCCAAGCUGAGUCAGCACGUUUGUUUACCAUCAGCGUCGCGCUCCGAGACUCCAUUCGCUAACCAAACCUGGCCAGCUCGUCAGCCGAUUCGUUACCCGCCACUCCUUUAUGGCCCGGAACCCAGCACAGCACCCCCCAAACUGCCGCCAAGCCUCGACCUUCCCGCGACUCGCAGUGACAGUCUGAGAGGGCCGCCGCUCCUGACUCAGGAUCACAUCGAAGGCCCUGAGAUCGCGAUAAUCUCUGCCCGAAAGACACUGCACCCAUCCAGGAGUCUCCGUGAUCCCCUAAUUCAUAGGAAUUCAACAAAAAAGUUGGCAACCCUACGCCUAAGUAAUGUUGUUUUACAACUCAGCUGAUUAUUUCACUGCUUUUUCUGCUUUAUUUACUGCUUUUAAGCGUUGCUUUUUAUUUGCGUUUGCUAUUACCGAUAAUUAAAUCAGAAUUAAUAGAAAUUUUAA